rnacentral:rRNA from 1 species
AAUGAACGCUGGCGGCGUGCCUAAUACAUGCAAGUCGAACGAAAAGACGGGGAGCUUGCGCCUCUGACGUUGGCGGCGGACGGGUGAGUAACACGUGGAUAACCUACCUCUACGACUGGGAUGACUUCGGGAAACCGGAGCUACUAACGGAUAAUAUAUCGACCCGCAUGGUUCACUAGUUAAAGACGGUUUUGGUGACACUUAUAGAUGAAUACGAGCCGCAUUAGCUAGUUGGUAAGGUAACGGCUUACCAAGGCAACGAUGCGUAUCCGAACUGAGCGGGUGAUCGGCAACACGGGAGCUGAGACACGGUCCAGACUCCUACGGGAGGCAGCAGUAGGGAUUCUUCCGCAAUGGGCGAAAGCCUAACGGAGCAACGCCGCGUGAGUGAUGAAGGUCUUCGGAUCGUAAAACUCUGUUAUUAGGGAAGAACAAAUGUGUAAGUAACUAUGCACGUCUUGACGGUACCUAAGCAGAAAGCCCCGCUUAACUACUG